ACUUUCAAAUUUGAUAUUUUUAAGUAGUCGUAUAGUAUGAGAUUUCUUAUCACUUCAAUAUAAAACGGCCAAUCAAAGACGGUAAAAAUCAUUAAUUUUGACUUACAGUUAAAAAUCCGUUUAUAGUUAAUAUAACCAUACAAUGCUCUUCAAAUUGUCUAUUUUGUUACUAUCUUUUAUCAUAGCUGGUCAUUCUGUACUGGGAGAAUCUGAAGAUGAAAAUCAAACUCUAAGUAAAUCGUACGACGAUUGUAGAAAAUGGUUGCACAUACCUCUAGAUGGUACUAUUACAUUGGCUGAGUUUUGGUUGUAUAUGGGUAAAAAUAGGAUCCGUUUUGCUAUCUUAAGUGAUUACCUUGAUAAUAAUCCAGCAGCAAAUGAAUAUAAAAAUUUUAUUGAUUUAUAUCUAUAUAAGGAACUUUUUAAAAUGUUAUGCAGCAAACUUGACCUUACUGUAAAAAAAUGCGCUUCACACAUGGAAAAAAUAGCGGCACAAAGGACAGUAGCAGACGUUUUAACUAUAGGUUCGGUGGAACCAGACGAUUGUCUGGUUCCACCGGACCUAUAGUCCUAUGGUCUUACAAACCUAUGGCCGGAGCUUAUCGAAAAUAAAAUAUAUUACAAGAAAAAAAAACAGAAAAUGUUUCAUAAUUUAAUAAUUAAAUGUUUAAAAAUAUAAUAUCAAAACGAAUUGUAUGACACCAAAAUCGUUUUUUUCAAAUAAACGCCACUUUCUUACUUUUUGUACAAUGUAAUUUUAUUUCAAAAAAAAAAAAAAGACUAUAUUUUAACUGGUAAUUUAAAAAGAGACAAAUUUGAGAAAAUGUUUGAAUAUAUUAUUAUGAAGUACAACAUUUAGGUACUUGUAAAAAAUUUAAUUAUCUAAAUAAACUAUACUUCCUCAGUACUCAACAAUUAUUUAAUAUUGCGAUAUAUUUAUCAUCGUCAGAUAAGUGAACCAGAUAUCACUAAUGAAAAUAUAUUUUUUAUUUUUGGCCAGCUAUAAAAGUUUGAUUCCUCCCACAUGCAACUUGAGCAAUUUUUUAAUAUUAUCAGGAGUAUAACUUACACUCAUAUUCAAAUCAUGAUAAAUUUAAAGCAGUUCAUUUGAGCUUAGGGUAAUAUUCAUAAAAAACAUAUCUGUUGUUUUAUUCAUUUUUUUAAGUUUUAAGAAAUGUAAAUUAUAUUUUAAAAAUUGUGAAAUGAUAAGUUUUAAUUUUUAACAGAAUAUAAUACAAUACAUUUAAAUUAUAAA